AUGAACGCUAGCGGCAGGCCUAACACAUGCCAGUCGAGGGGUAGAAGGAGCUUGCUCCUUUGAGACCGGCGCACGGGUGCGUAACGCGUAUGCAAUCUACCUUGUACAGGGGAAUAGCCCAGAGAAAUUUGGAUUAAUGCCCCAUAGUAUAUAACCUUCGCAUGUUGGUUAUAUUAAAGUUCCAACGGUACAAGAUGAGCAUGCGUCCCAUUAGUUAGUUGGUAAGGUAACGGCUUACCAAGACGAUGAUGGGUAGGGGUCCUGAGAGGGAGAUCCCCCACACUGGUACUGAGACACGGACCAGACUCCUACGGGAGGCAGCAGUGAGGAAUAUUGGUCAAUGGUCGCAAGACUGAACCAGCCAUGCCGCGUGCAGGAAGACGGUCCUAUGGAUUGUAAACUGCUUUUAUACAGGAAGAAACCCUCCCACGUGUGGGAGCUUGACGGUACUGUAGGAAUAAGGAUCGGCUAACUCCGUG
rnacentral:rRNA from 1 species